rnacentral:tRNA from 1 species
GUUUAAUUAGUUUAUUAAAAUUUAGGUUUGUGGAUCCUAAGAUAUAUUAUUUAUAUAUUAAACA